rnacentral:rRNA from 1 species
AAACUGCACAAUGUGGGAAACCACGAUGCGGGAAACCCAAGUGCCAGCACUCUGUGUUGGCUGUCCUCGACUGUUCGUAGGUCGGGAAGAAAGUGCUGGUAAGACGGGUGCCAGCCGCCGCGGUAAUACCCGCAGCACAGGUGGUGGUCAUUAUUAUUGGGCCUAAAGCGUCCGUAGCUGGCCUGUUAGAUGCCUGGGUAAAUCGGUGCGCUCAACGCACCGAACUCCGGGUAGACCGGCAGGCUCGAGACCGGGAGAGGCAUGGGCUACUCGCGGGGUAGGGGUAAAAUCCUGUAAUCCUGCGGGGAGGACCAGUGGCGAAGGCGCCAUGCUAGAACGGCUCUGACAGUGAGGGACGAAGCCCUGGGGCGCAAACCGGAUUAGAUACCCGGGUAGUCCAGGGUGUAAACGCUGCAGACUUGGUGUCGGUGAUCCUACGAGGGUUGCCGGUGCCGGAGAGAAGUUGUUGAGUCUGCCGCCUGGGGAGUACGGUCGCAAGACUGAAACUUAA